rnacentral:rRNA from 1 species
CUGCAGCUCGAGUGGUGGCCGCUAUUAUUGGGCCUAAAACGUCCGUAGCCGGUUUAAUAAAUGCCUGGGUAAAUCGUGUAGCUCAACUAUACGAAUUCCGGGUAGACUGUUAAGCUUGAGACCGGGAGAAGUUAGAGGUACUCCUGGGGUAGAGGUGAAAUUCUGUAAUCCUAGGGGGACCACCAGUGGCGAAGGCGUCUGACUAGAACGGGUCUGACGGUGAGGGACGAAGCCCUGGGGCGCAAACCGGAUUAGAUACCCGAGUAGUCC